AACGAACGCUGGCGGCGUGCUUAACACAUGCAAGUCGAACGAGGUCGCAAGACCGAGUGGCGGACGGGUGAGUACAACAUAGGUAACCUGCCCUUUAGUGGGGGAUACCCAGCCGAAAGGUUGGCUAAUACCGCAUAUUGUCCCGGUUUGAAAUAACCGGGAUGAAAGAUUUAUCGCUAAAGGAUGGGCCUGUGGUCGAUUAGCUUGUUGGUGGGGUAAUGGCCUACCAAGGCGACGAUCGAUAGCUGGUCUGAGAGGAUGAUCAGCCACACUGGGACUGAGACACGGCCCAGACUCCUACGGGAGGCUG
rnacentral:rRNA from 1 species